UGCAAGUCGAACGGGAUUAUUUUUGUAGCAAUACAGAAAUAAUUCAGUGGCGAACGGGUGCGUAACACGUGGGCAAUCUGCCGAAAAGUGGGGGAUAGCUCGCCGAAAGGCGAAUUAAUACCGCAUGUGGUGAGGGACGACAUCUUCCUGAAUCCAAAGCCGGGGCAACCUGGCGCUUUUUGAGGAGCCCGCGGCCUAUCAGCUAGUUGGCGGGGUAACGGCCCACCAAGGCUAUGACGGGUAGCUGGUCUGAGAGGACGACCAGUCACACUGGAACUGAGACACGGUCCAGACACCUACGGGUGGCAGCAGUCGAGAAUUUUUCUCAAUGGGGGAAACCCUGAAGGAGCGACGCCGCGUGGAGGAUGAAGGCUUUCGGGUUGUAAACUCCUGUCAUUUGAGAACAAGUGUGAGCAAGUAACUACUGCUCAUUUGAUAGUAUCAGAAGAGGAAGGGACGGCUAACUCUGUGCCAGCAGCCGCGGUAAUACAGAGGUCCCAAGCGUUGUUCGGAUUCAUUGGGCGUAAAGGGUGCGUAGGUGGCGCCGUAAGUCGGGUGUGAAAUUUCGGAGCUUAACUCCGAAACUGCAUUCGAUACUGCGGUGCUUGAGGACUGGAGAGGAGACUGGAAUUCAUGGUGUAGCAGUGAAAUGCGUAGAGAUCAUGAGGAAGACCAGUGGCGAAGGCGGGUCUCUGGACAGUUCCUGACACUGAGGCACGAAGGCCAGGGGAGCAAACGGGAUUAGAUACCCCGGUAGUCCUGGCAGUAAACGGUGCACGUUUGGUGUGGGAGGAUUCGACCCCUUCCGCGCCGGAGCUAACGCGUUAAACGUGCCGCCUGGGGAGUACGGUCGCAAGAUUAAAACUCAAAGAAAUUGACGGGGGCCCGCACAAGCGGUGGAGUAUGUGGCUUAAUUCGAUGCACGCGAGACCU
rnacentral:rRNA from 1 species